GAGGGGUCGUGGGUGGCUCGGUCUCACAGAGGGGCCAUGGGUGGUGGCUCUGGCGAUGGGGUUGUGGCGGUUUCUCUCUGUGUUAACGGAGAAGAUGAAGAAUGGUGGUGGUGCUCGUGAUGAUGAGGAUCUGGGAUUGUAUUUUGUAUUAUGCAUAAAUUAAUUGUGUUGAACAUUUGUAUCUAGGUUUUUGUUCUUGAUAUUCUAAGUUUGAUUUUGUACUGGAUUUUAUUUCUAAUUUUUGAUGAUGUUGGAAAAUAUACUACUGAUUACUGUGCCAUUUUGUAAACUUGUCAUUUCAGAUAUAGACAUGUUGAUUAUGCUCAAAUUUAUGGGAUGAUCAGAUUUUUCUUU